rnacentral:rRNA from 1 species
AACGAACGCUGGCGGCAUGCCUAACACAUGCAAGUCGAACGGGAUCCUAGCUUGCUAGGUGAGAGUGGCGGACGGGUGAGUAACACGUGGGAAUCUGCCUUUUGGUUCGGGAUAACCGCGGGAAACUGCGGCUAAUACCGAAUGCCCUCGAGAGAGGAAAGAUUUAUCGCCAGAAGAGGAGCCCGCGUCCGAUUAGGUAGUUGGUGGGUAAAGGCCUACCAAGCCGACGAUCGGUAGCUGGUCUGAGAGGAUGAUCAGCCACACUGGGACUGAGAUACGGCCCAGACUCCUACGGGAGGCAGCAGUGGGGAAUAUUGGACAAUGGGGGCGAACCCUGAUCCAGCAAUGCCGCGUGAGUGAAGAAGGUCUUCGGAUCGUAAAGCACUUUCGACAGGGACGAUGAUGACGGUACCUGUAGAAGAAGCCCCGGCUAACUUCGUGCCAGCAGCCGCGGU